ensembl:snoRNA
CGGAGGUCUGAGAAGGUUCAACAGCUUGCUGUGCUGUUGUCACUGGUUUUUUACCUCCAAAAUUAACACACAGACACACAAUGUUGUCAUUCUAAGGAAUUUAAAACUGAUAUGUGUGUUUGUG